rnacentral:lncRNA from 1 species
CUAACACUAAUCUCAUACCACCUCACAACUCACCUCACACCUGACCACCUCACCCUAACCUCACACCACUUCACACCUGACUGCCUUACACUAACCUCACACUACGUCAUACCUGACUGCCUCACACCCAACCUCAUACCUCCUCACACCACCUCACACCACCUCACACCUAACCUCACACUGCCUCACAUGACCUCAUAACCUUCAACAGGUCACUCAGCCACCUCACAGCCUGUGGACAGCUCAGGGAGACAGUUCUGAAGAUGGCUGGAGGAGCUCCACAUGCAGAGUCAUAUGGUGACUCUAGUCUCCUUCCACUUACAUGGAAUGUGGGCAAGCCACUCAAUCUCUUUCAAUUUUUCUUAUUUUUUUCAUAAGUACCAGAGACAGCUGUCACUGGGAUUCCAUGAAGACAUUUUAUGUGCUUGUUCUGUCACCCACAUUUACCUUCUCAAUAGGAGUAACAUGGAAGAAGGUGCCAGAGCAACGGAGCAGUGAAGCAAGACGGGAACCCAGGGGUCUGCCCUGGAGUCUGCACCUGUGCUCCUGCUGCUCGACCUCUGUCCGCAGAGCAGUCUCGGAAGGGGAAGACGCCCUCAUUCUGAGAAUGAGUAGGAAAUGACCAGCAGUGACCACCCCAGAGGGAGCAGUGGAGAAAGCAAGGGUGCCCCCUCGGACCCUCAGAGGGGGUGUGGUGGCUUGUGGUGCUGCCCAGCACCCUGUCCUUGUGUCCAGGACGAGCCCUCCUUGCCCUAACCCAUGUACCCUUAUGAUGACAGAGAUGGGCACCACGGCAUGAUGACCUCGAAAAGCCAAACCAACCCACCUGGCUCUUGCUGAGAAAGGUGAGCUGAGGGAAGGGGUGGUUGUUUAUGUAGAUUUCAGCUUUAGGACAACUAUGGCCAGGCUGCCAGCCAGCCGACACACGGGUGAGGAAGGUCAAAACAGUAACAAAAC